GCAACCACGGUAGGGUCAGCGACUGGGGUGAAGUCGUAACAAGGUAGCCGUAGGGGAACCUGUGGCUGGAUCACCU
rnacentral:rRNA from 1 species